CGGCGGCCGGUGCCGAGCUGGGGCCGCCCGCUGUGAGGGAGCGGGGGGGGACCCGGGGCAAGAUGCCCGCCCUGAGGGGACGGAGCCUUCGGGGCGGGCGGCCGUGAGGGCGCUCCCGUCCGAGGGAGUAACGACGGCCCCGCCGUCCCGUCGCGGACGGCGAUUUACCUGGGUGCCCACCUCCCUCCCUCUUUCCCUCCUUGUUUUCUUUCUUCCUUCCUUCCCGGAGCCGGUGGUUUCGGCGGAGAGGGAGGGGAGCCCGCCUGGCCCCUCCCCGGAGAAACUUUCCUCCGCCACCCGCGCCAGGGCGACCCUUGGGCAGCGUUGGUCGCAAACUUCUUCUGGGGGAGAGAGGACCCAGGCUUCGCGCAGGGCUGUGUGAGCGGGCGAGUGCCGAGGUGAGAGCAUGGGAUACGUGCUUUUAUUUUCCGGAAGGCUUUUCCUCCCAAGUGCGACGCCUGACGGAGUGCCAGGUAUUCCUGCGUAGGGCUGUCACCCGCGUGACCCUCUGCAUGUGCGCUCAGUUUGGGUUCGGACUUCUGUUUUAACAGUGGAAAGCUGAAUGCUGCUGAAAGCUGAAGAAACUAAGUCUAGAUUCUUGACCAAAUGGAAGAGCUGCCAGAGCCAAUUUUUCCUUGCUGACCUGUUGACAUUGCUUUAAUUGCAGAUAUCUGUGGAUAUGAAAGCUCAGGACACAGUAUCAAUCUCAUAAUGAUGCUUGAACAUCUGUAGCUCACUGGAGGAUUUAAAAAAGAAAUUCAGCAUGACCUAGUUGGCUUGACCUGUGGAAAUUUUAUAAUGUCCUCUGGAACACGUAUCAGCAGAAAUAGGCAGGCUCCCAGCCUGCAGGGUGUUGACCCAGAAACAUGUAUGAUAGUGUUUAGAACACACUGGGCACAGGUUCUGAAAAUCUUAGAGAAGCAUGAUCCUUUGAAAAAUACUCAGGCAAAGUAUGGAGCAAUCUCACCUGAUGAGGCCAGCACUGUCCAGAAUUAUGUGGAGCACAUGCUUUUCUUAUUAAUUGAGGAGCAAGCAAAAGAUGCCUCGAUGGGACCUAUUCUGGAGUUUGUGGUCUCAGAAAACAUCAUGGAGAAGCUUUUCCUUUGGAGCCUACGACGAGAGUUCACUGAUGAAACAAAAAUUGAGCAACUCAAAAUGUAUGAAAUGCUCGUAACCCAGUCUCAUCAGCCUUUGCUGCAUCACAAGCCCAUUUUGAAGCCUUUGAUGAUGUUGUUGAGUUCCUGCUCAGGAACAACCACUCCAACAGUGGAAACAGAGUUGGUUGUCCUCUUGAACCAGCUCUGCUCUAUAAUAGCCAAAGAUCCCUCCAUUUUAGAACUGUUUUUCCACACUAGUGAGGACCAAGGAGCUGCCAAUUUCCUCAUUUUUUCCCUGCUCAUCCCCUUCAUCCAUCGAGAAGGAACAGUAGGCCAACAGGCCCGGGAUGCACUGCUUUUCAUAAUGUCUUUGUCUGCAGAAAACAACCUUGUUGCAAACCACAUAGCAGAAAACACCUAUUUUUGCCCAGUGCUAGCAACAGGACUGAGUGGCCUCUAUUCCUCUUUGCCUACAAAGCUGGAAGAAAAAGGAGAAGAAUGGCACUGUCUGAUGAAAGAUGACUGGCUUUUGUCACCAGCCCUUGUACAAUUCAUGAAUUCCCUUGAAUUUUGCAAUGCUGUGAUACAGGUGGCACAUCCCUUAAUACGCAGCCAGCUUGUGAAUUACAUUUACAAUGGAUUUUUGGUGCCAGUAAUGGCUCCUGCACUCCAUAAGGUGACUGUGGAGGAAGUGAUGACUACAACUGCAUACCUGGAUCUCUUCUUGCGCAGCGUUUCAGAGCCAGCCCUCCUCAAGAUUUUCCUCCGCUUUAUUUUGCUGCACCGACAUGAGAAUGUUCAUAUCCUGGAUACACUUACCAGCAGAAUCAACACACCAUUCCGGCUCUGUGUUGUCUCCUUGGCGUUGUUCAGAACACUCAUUGGCUUGCAUUGUGAAGAUGUGAUGUUGCAGCUAGUUUUAAGGUAUCUGAUCCCCUGCAACCACAUGAUGCUGAGCCAGCGGCGUGCUGUGAAAGAGAGAGACUGUUACUCUGUAUCUGCUGCAAAACUGCUGGCCCUGACACCCCUCUGCUGCUCCACUGGAAUCACUUUGACACUUGAAAGCCAAGGGAAAGACUAUAUUCUCUGGACAAAAACAGCACAAUCUAAAGAUCCUGGUAGAUGCUCUUCUGAAUCUGCUUGCAUUGUGGAAUAUGGAAGGGCUGUGGACAUCAGCUACUUGCAGUACCUGGCAGAAGCUCAAGAAGCCAUCAUCCAGUGCAUGAAAGAUUGUAAGGUUUGGUCUGCCUUGUAUGAUGGAGUAAAUCCUGAUCCAGACACCUUUAUCCAGACGCUUGCAGAGGAGAACAGUACAGAUGUGGAACACCCCAUGUUUCGGCUCCAGCAAAGGACACCUAGCUCAUGUAGUUCUGCUCAAGCAACUCCUUUCAGUGAGAAGAUACAGCUAGAGCUAGAAUGGGAUGAUAGCUAUGACACAGGGAUUUCUCCUGGUUCUAAUGUGAGCUCACCACAAUCGUAUGAUGAUCUGGGAAGCACAGAAAUGCAGCCACCUGCAGAGCCACCGAAACACAUUCAAGAAAUGAAAAAAAAUGCCAUUAUGCUCAUCAAAGGCUCUUACAUAGAAGAGUCAGACUUUCAGGAUGAUGUUAUGGUUUACAGGUUAUGUGCCCAGAAGGAUACUCAAGAUGAUGACAGCUCUAAGGAGAAAGCUUUAAAUGUAGCCAGAGAACACAAGGUGCAGAGCCAGACCAUAGUCAAUGGGUCUCUUGCAAAGACUCAGCUGGAAAUGGACUUGGAUGAGCACAGUAAGAGAAAUUCAAGCUCAGCUAAAGGUGUAAUGAGAGAACAAAUAAACCAGAAAAUGACUGAGAUUGAUCCACAGCCAGACUUAGAGUUAAAGAUUUCUUCUCAGGAGGCAGAUUGUAACUUAAGUGUAAAACUGCUGAGCACAGAUGGUGAGGAUUUCAUUGCACAGUAUGACAGAAUUAUUAAGGAACUGGAUCCAAACAGUGCGAGCUUGGAGGAGCAGAAGUUGGAUGUUCCUGAUCCUGUCUCUCCAGCAGAAGAAGAGGAGGACUUUGAGAAUUUCGCAGCAGAUACCCCUUCUGCAGAGAGCAUAUCAUCUCCCUUUGGACCAAAAGAGGAUGUCUCUCCCAAGCUCUCUCCCAAGCACUCUCCAAGGAGCCAGAGUGCUCCAUUUACAGGACCAUUCAUCAGCGUAGUGUUGUCGAAGCUGGAGAACAUGCUGGAGAAUUCCUUGCAUGUAAAUUUGCUGCUUAUUGGGAUUAUUACUCAGCUGGCAAGUUAUCCACAGCCGCUUCUUCGCUCCUUUCUGCUCAACACCAACAUGGUGUUUCAGCCUAGUGUGCGCUCACUCUAUCAGGUGCUGGCAUCUGUGAAAAAUAAGAUUGAACAUUUUGCUUCCAUUGAAAAAGACUUCCCAGGUCUUCUCCUGGAGGCCCAACAGUACCUGCUUUUUCGUGUGGACAUGUCUGAUGCUGCGGAAGAAUUGCUCACCAAAGGUAAUGUCCAGCACAGCAGCAACACAGGGAAAGGAAGGAAUCUCCCGGAAGCUUACCCGGCUGUACUGCAGCCCUUCCUGGCACAGAAAGGAAAGAAAGGCCUGGCUCAUCCCAGCGUUCCUGCGCACGUGAGGAACGCCGUACUUGCAGCUGCCCUUUUCCCAGAGUUCCUGAAGGAGCUGGCAGCUCUAGCCCAGGAGCAUUCCAUUUUAUGUUACAAAAUACUGGGGGAUUUUGAAGAUUAUUAUUAAUGGGUUUUUUAAAUGUGUUUUGAAAAAGCUUUUGGAGUUUAAACAGAUUUUUAAUGCAAAGCUGCUUUCAAAAGAAGGUUGUACUUCAAUAUUUCCUGAAAAUACUUGAUUUGGAGGGGGAAAAAGGAGGCAAAAUAUUAUUCCAGUUAGGCCUUAUAAUUUCCCUCAGUGCUACAUAACUUAUUUGAGAUUUCUGAUACUGCUCAUACUGCAGCUUCCUUCUUCAUGCCUUCCUCUUUACAGAGCCACCCUUCUUCAGUGUCACUAAUUCCUGUUGAAUUUCUGCAAUAGACACUUGUUGGCUGGCUGAGAGACACAAACACGUUGGCUUUUUCUGUUCCAGAAAUACUCUUCUGGGUAACUUGUUAGGAGACAAGUUUGCUUGAAGAAACAUUGCCCCAUGGGAAAAGUUCACAGUAUAAAAAGAUAUGCAGAAUCUGCAGAAUACCCUUUUAUGUGAAGGACUGUCGUUCUCGAUGUCAUUGUCCUCUUUGCCUCUUCCUUUGCUUCACCCUGAAGCCAGGUUCUUACCAAUCCACAUCCAAAACCCCUUUUUUAAAUAUUGGCUCAGGUUUUCUGAAUUCAAGUGAUCUUAUGUGUAGUAAACCCAUGAGUAGCUGAAAGCAGGUGCUGGGCCCUACAAAUACCAUAUUGCCUUAUGUCGAAGACAGAUCUGCAGCUAUCAGCUGUUGGGCUUUGAAGUCCAAUGAAGUGUGUAAGUGGAUGUGGAUUGCAGACUGCCUGGAAUUUUCCUUGCGGUUCCUCAACAUUCCUUGAUAACUCUUGCAUUGCUACCUAAGCCUGCAAGCAUGCCUUAUUUAGUAAGAUUUGCACAAAGUACAAAACAAAAUGUUUCUAUGCAAGCUGUUAUUAGAGUCUAGUUUAUUUGUAUGCUUGUUUUAAUAAGCUAAAGAAAGAUACUCAGUAUCUUUCUGUAGUGUUAAAUGGACAGCAGGCUGUUUUUGUCUUUUUGUCUGUUUUUUUUAAUUAAAUGAAAAAUGUUUGCUUGCUUAUGAAAGGUGUACUGUUUUAUUGUUAAUUUAUUUUGGUUAAAGGAAAAUUAAGUUACUCUUUGUUUACUUUUAGUUUAGGUGUUGACUUUUCCUAAUAUUGCACUUCUGGGAUGGUGAGGGGAGGACCAGGCUAUUCACCAUCUGCAGAAAAGGAAGGAGUAAUGGGGAAAUCUGUCUGCUGGUGACUAACUGCUUGAGAAAAUUCUCUUCUGUCUGUUAAGCUACACGAGGAUUUCAAAAUGUGGACUGCUCAUAAAAGCAUCUGUAAAUUUGAGGAAGGAGAGGAUUUUCCUCAUAAGUUUUGGUACAGCUUAUGUUCUACAUCCAGUAGGAUAAAGUCAGCCUUUGAAAUCUGGAGUUGUGUGGAAGGCUUCUUGCUGAAAGGUCAGAGCUGUGUUUGUGCUCAGUGUCCUCUCACAAACAGGAAAUGUCCAUCAGCUCCCCAAAAGGAAGAGGUGGAUGAGUGCAGUGACCCUGGCUUAGAAUGUAAAAAUGCAGAUCAUACAUGUACCUUUACACUGCUUGGUUUCUGAGUGGGAUCAGAUUUGCAGCUGUGUCUCAGAUGUAAUAGCAGUAUAAUGUCUGGCAGCCAGCACAAAAAACUAUUGAUGGGAAUUGCCUCUUCCUGCCUUCAAAAUGCAGAACCUGUGAUUUAGCUUGAAAAUGUUGAUCUUUUCAGAUGAAUCACAUCUGUGUGCAUAAGCUCUUCAGCCAAAUGCUUCUCUAAUAAGCUACUUCCCUCUAGUUAGAUAAUGUGUUAUCCUGUCUCUCACCAAUGACACAUCCUUUCCCAAAAAAACCCUGUGCCUGUGGUCCUAGCUGUGGUCCUGCCUAUAGGUCCCUGGAGGAUAACAGCUUUAUGCUGCUCUUACCAAGAUCAAGGAAGUGCUUUUUGAUCUGGUUUUCCCCACACAUUGGGUGGGUGUGUGACUGGAGCAGUCCUUCAUUGGUACAUUGGCUCAGCAUCAGUCCCAAAUGAAGUGCCUUGGCAGAUCUCUCCCAAAGACUGCAGGUGGUGGCUCAGUGAUACCAAAGUGAAUUUCCAGCCUCCUACUAGAUGUUUCAAACUGUGAAUGCCACAUUUCCAAUUAUGUAGCCUUGGAGUGUGUUUAUAAGCUGUUCUGCUAUAGCAAGGAAUCUUUCCAGCAUUUUAAACUUG